UACGGGGGGAGCAAGCGUUGUUCGGAUUUACUGGGCGUAAAGGGCGCGUAGGCGGCGCAACAAGUCACUUGUGAAAUCUCCGGGCUUAACUCGGAGCGGCCAAGUGAUACUGUCGUGCUAGAGUGCGGAAGGGGCAACUGGAAUUCUCGGUGUAGCGGUGAAAUGCGUAGAUAUCGAGAGGAACACCUGCGGCGAAGGCGGGUUGCUGGGCUGACACUGACGCUGAGGCGCGAAAGCCAGGGGAGCGAACGGG
rnacentral:rRNA from 1 species